GGCAAUUUGGGGUUACUUAUCUCUGCACUGAGAAUUCCUCCGGUAAGCAAUAUGCUUGCAAAUCCAUUUCGAAGAGGAAGCUUGUGACCAGAAAUGAUAAGGAGGAUAUUAAGAGGGAGAUUCACAUUAUGCAGCAUUUGAGUGGGCAACCCAACAUAGUUGAGUUCAAGGGAGCUUAUGAAGACAAGCAAUCGGUUCAUUUGAUCAUGGAGCUGUGCGCUGGAGGCG
rnacentral:misc_RNA from 1 species